GCUCAUUCAGAGUGAGAAGAUCAAGAAUGACUACACGUGUCUCUGGUUGGCAAGAUGCUACAUCGUGAAUCGUAAGGCCAGACUAGCCUGGGAGUUGUACCUUAAGAUGGAGACGUCUGGCGAAUCGUUCAGCCUGCUGUAGCUCAUUGCCAACGACGGC